rfam:Oryza brachyantha chromosome 2, whole genome shotgun sequence.
AGCGAAAUGAGGAGGCAAAAUUGUCCGAAUUUUUUCUUGUGGAGAACACAUACAUGGUCUUCAAAGUUCUCUGAUCGCU